AUUACACUAAAAGAGAUUAGAAAGAGUGGAGGGUAAAGUAAAAUCUGAGAUGUGUGAAGGUUUGGAAAAUUGGACCAAAUUGGAAUAGAUAGUAGAUUGUCAUUGUAGAUAAACGCGAUCACACGGGAGUGUACUUGUGUCUGGAACCAGCACACCAAACAAUGCUAUGCUAAACUAUAAGACGCAGAAGGACUUUGGAGCAGUUUGUGAAAGUAUCCAGCAGAAAGAUAUAGUUUAAAAGUGAAAGAAUCAUUACUUAGCCUAUAAUAAUACCAGCUAGGCAAUAUGCUAAAGCUUGCAGAAGAAUUUUGGUUCCAUGUUUACCACCCUAUUUGCAGUCAAAGAUUUUCACACACCACGAUUUUGACGCCUGGUCAUUUUUCUUUGUUUCUUCUCUAGAAGAAGUGAUAUUGAUUCUCCCUAUACUUUUUAUUGUUUAAUUGAACGGGGUUAUUACCUAUUAGUCUGGAAUACGAAAACUGAAAAACUUAAAUGAAUAUCCAUCAGUGAGCACUGUGUGUUUUACAUUUCAUGGCUCCUUCAGCAUAGCAAUGAAGCAUUUAUUGCUUUGGGUUUUCACGCUAAACUUAUCAAGGACACAGGAGACAGACUUAAGUUUUACCUCUUGAAUGUUGUUCAGUCUAUCGAAUGUGCAAUAUGGUGGGAUUUACAAGGCAUUUUUAUAGCAAACUUUGCAUCAGAGAAUUUCUGACUGAACUGUACAUACAGUAUUAUAAGCAUAUUUCAAACUUCUGGGAAGAUAGAAAUUUUACAUACUGUUCUAGGAACUAAUACAGACUCCAAGAGUAUGAAGAGUUUAGAGACCAACUAGAAAGCAGUCUGCAUGUGGAUUCAAGAGUUAAAUUUCUUGUUCACCUAAUUAAACAUUACUUAGCAAGGGAGGAUCAGCAGCAUGAAGUAAAAGAAGAUGGGCUCUGAGUAGGUACUGGUCCCAUCCCUAGGCUCCACAUACAAGGGAGACAGGAGAGGCUGAAGUAGUUUUGAGCCUCUGCAGCAGAGACUGCUUGUCUGCAAGGGUGUGAGUCUGAAGCCAUUACUGCUGUAUAUAAGUACCUGUUCUAUUCUCGAAGUUGCCUGUAUAGCCUUAAUUCUUUUAUUCUGUGGAUAUUUAAUAUGGGGAGCAGUCUCUAAUGCUGUAGAUCGUUACUGCUUUGCAAAUGGUGCAGUAUUUUUAUAAAACUUUACAAAACUGUAGGGUUAUAAAUUCCCUCGUGUUUUCUAUGGCAGCUGGCUUUUCUCCUCUGCACCAGUGCAGGGGUUUCUGCUCUGUAGGCUGAAACUCUGAAAUAACAUGUCAAAAAGAAAGGCUUUCAAAAAAGACAAGGAUGGGAAAAAAUAAUGGGAGGCUGCGUGAAAGCAGAGGAUUGUUAAGCUGUCUUUGACCAAAGAAAACAUAUUUCACUUUGGUGGAUCAUAAAAUAUCUGGUAUAUCAUAAAAGCAGACUACACAAGUAGAGUGGUGUGUGUUACAUUUGUACAGCAUGCUACACAUGAAGUGUAACAACAAAAAGUAGUAUGAAAAAGCAGCAAACUGAAACUGGAAAAAAAAAUGCUGAUAUUUAGGCCAACCUCAGCUUCUUUUUAAGUAGAUUUUGUGGUUAAUUGCAUCAGCCCUAGAUUGCACCUAAGGAGGGCUGCAUUGCAUGUGUUUGUGUAGCUCAUUUAUCUUCAUUGUUAACUACUUGAUCUUUUGCGUUGUAUCUAAGUAAUUUUUAAUAGGGUAAUUAUAAUGUCUGGGUAUUCCACAAUUUUUAACAUAUGUUUUCCUUAGAUGAAGAAGAUUUAUCAUUUUAAACUGCCAAAUAUAAUGAACUAAGCCAUGGGAGAAAAACAUACUACAAAAAUAUCAAGAAAAAGCAGAGAUUGAAAAGUAUUAUGUGUGUUUCCUACAUUUAAAGAUCAUAGGAAAAGCUGUAUAUUAUAUGUAUUAUUUGAAAAUAAUAUAAAUUCUCCACAGUCAGCCAAGACCAAACAUAGAGCUUUAAUAAGGACAUUAUCCAAGUUGAGUGCUUAGGUUUGUAGAAUUAAUAGUCUGUGUUCAUUUAAUGAACCGUAUGUAUUUGUAAAAUAGAUAAGCAAGCUGUAGUUCUCUUUUACAUUAUUAUAUCUCAAUUUAGGAUAUACAAUGGAGAAAAAAUGUGUUAUCUAAGAUAGAAGAAAACCACACAGAAAUAGAGAAGGAAUGAAUCUGUGGUUCAAUUCUUUUUCUGUUGCCUCAACUGAAGACUGCUUUUCUUUUUCAAGAUCUUGCCCGUCUUCUGAGUCCUCAGUGCACAGAUGGUACCUCCAUCCUCUCAGCCUCUGGUACUAGCUUCCAGCACCCAUUUGCUACAUUUUCAGAUGAAUAUGUUUGUGCUUUUUCCCACAGUGCCCUCCACAGCUCUCUAUGGAGUAGUUUUUCUAUCUUCUUCCCUUCUUUCUCCUUUGCCAUAAUGCUGCCCAAAAGCUCGGCAACAGAUAGAUCAGUAGUGUGCUAAGAGAACUGCCUACUGUGCUGACUAAUGUGUCUGUGUACUCUCACGUCAAUCUGCCUAUUUUCUCAUCUGUUUUCUCUUUUCUUAAAAGAGCAGCAAUUUGAUGCAGGGAUUCAGGCCCCAUCUGGAGUACGGCAUCCAGGCCUGGGGCCCCCAGCACAAGAAAGACGCAAAGCUCUUGAAACAGGUCCAGAGGAGGGCCACUAAGAUGAUCAGAGGGCUGGAACACCUCUCCUGUGAAGGCAGGUUGAGGGAACUGGGAUUGUUUAGCUUGGAGAAGAGAAGGCUCCGGGGAGACCUCACUGUGGCCUUCCAGAACUUGAAGGGAGCAUAUAAACAGAAGGAGGAACAGCUGUUUACGAAGGGACUGAAAUUCAACAAAGACUUAGAAAUAAUGGUUAUCCCUCUGCGGAGAAUGACACCUGGGUAUAUAAGGUUGCUGCAGACUCAAGCUGCAGGAAAAAUAGUUAUCAACUCAUCAGACGUACUGCUGCAACGGGCAGCCUUGCUCCUGGGCAUGUUUGGGAUCAGUCUCUCCAGCUACAGCACACACCAGCUGGCUCAACAGAAGAGACUUUCCGUGACCCUUUAAGCUGCGCUGGGAUGUGACCCGACAAAUAAAUGCUUGUGUCAGAAAUGCUGACAAGUAGCUUUUCUGUCUCCGUUGCUGGUGUGGAGGUAAUGAGACACGUUACAGCCUCAAUUUCUACAUGCAGAGUUAAAAAGAUGAAAGAAUACAGACUUCUUCAGGGGAAAAAAAAAAAGUAUCAUGACUGAUGGAAAUCAGAUAUCCAAGAACUUGUAAAUACAGUGGAUCUCGGUGGUCUCGUGACGUCCCUUCCAACCCCUGCAAUUCUGUGAUUCUGUUUGUUAUCCAGCAUAUACAUAAAGAGACGUCCAAAUGUAUAUGAUACAGCUUACAUUAGAGUAGAUGUAAACAGAUGGAUGAGGGUGCCAUGCUUAUUUAGCAUCACCUUGCUACAGCUUUUGCAAAUUGACUCCUAUACAAAGACUGGUUUUGAGAAGGAAAGUCAGAAACAAUAUAUUCCUCAUGAUAAGAGUCAAGCCAGAUAAAGAGAAUCUUUUGUAGGCUGUUUGUACUUUCAUAUCUAUGUGAGUUACAGGAAUUGUGCGCUCUAACCGUUAACAUUGAAACUCAAGCUUUUUUAAUGCCUCUUGUACAGAAAUGUGUGUGCGUUGUAGCACACGCUGAUUUCUUUGUGCAACAGCAGAGAUGGCUGAAGGCUCCGCCAUCAGUACACUGCUGGAAAGGAACCAUGACAGCAGUCCGGAUGACUCUGUGAUCCUGUACACAAACCCUCUAGUCUAGAAAGCACCAGUAAAAAAUUUGGGUUGAGUUUUGUUGUAGAGUUAAACGUCUGAUUGUAUUCCUCUGCAGAAAGCCCUCAUCUCAAAAUAUACGUGCUGAUUAAAAUAGACAUUAGCCGUCCUUCCUUUUCCCAUUUUCUUGUUCCUCUUACUCAAUAUAAUAGCUUAUUCAGGAAUGUUCUGUUACUGUCGGUUAGCAUUUUUCCAACUGUUUCCAAUGCUCUGUGUAAACAUGGCUUUGUAGACUCUUCCAUGCAUAUGUUACUGUUUGAAAUGCUUUGUUCUCACUUAAUAAAUGCAAAUAUAUUUUUUCGGUGUUU
ensembl:lncRNA